rnacentral:lncRNA from 1 species
CUUUAUUUUCAAGAAAAAACUUUCGCCCUCUUCGCCUCCCCCGGCCCUUAGAUUGCGCUCGGGCUAGUAGCCAACGUUGUGUUAAAGGAAAGAGGUUUUAGUCUUCUUUUAACUGGUAACAGUUUUCUUCCUCGUGAGGUAGUGCGGCGUCCGGCCUUACCCACAAUUCCCACGGCCCCUCCUGGCGUCUUUCCGGCCGCUGGGCACCGGUCACCCCAGCGCCGCCCCGGCGGGGCCCUCGCGCCAGCCCGGUUCCCUCCGCAAGUUAAUAGUUUCCUUGUGUUCUGAUUGUAAGAAGAAUACUGCUUUUUAAAAACGCCUGCUCCCUUAAAAAUUGUCCAGUAGGAAGUACAUAAGGGUAUAUAAAAGAAAGGAAAUCCUACUUUUUUUCCUUUCAAACAAAAACAGGAAAUAACUUGCCUCCUCUCCACAUUUCCCAAAUCUAAAAGUAAUUCACAAGAACAGAUGGUGGACUGAGAACAUGCAUCUACACCACCUCUCACCUAAAAUUCAUGCAUUCAUUCUUCCAUGCAUUCAAAAUACUCAGUAUUUAUUGGAUACCUUCUAUUUCCUUGGUUUUACUUUUCUACAUGCUAUACACACACACACCCCAAUUUAUAACAGCUUGGAAGAACAAGAAAGAGCUUUAUCAGAAAUGUUGAGAAGUUCCUGAGAAAUAUCAGACAGGAUCAGAUAUAUGCAGGAACAAAACUGAAGGAAUCAUAGCCCAAAAACCUGCAGGAGAAGGCUAUAAAGAUAGGAGUUUGGUGUCAUACCAGCUCCAGAAUCAAUGGAUUAAACAAGUGACAGGGACAAGCCAAGCCCUGGACAUUCAUCAAAGUGAUUAAUUGAGGGGCUAUGUAAGAAGUAACUAGGCUGGUUGAUCACCAACCUGUCUCCCACUCCUCCACUAAACAGCAAGUAGCGGCAAUGCUCAUUCAUAGGCUAAAGAAAGAAAUAUGGACACUGAAGCCAGAGAAGGCCAUUGCUGCCUCAGCUAGAUCCUGACCAUCAGGAGGGACAGGAAACCCCACCCCGGAAAAGAAGUCAUUAACACUCUCUUCCCAGUAGCAUAUCCCUUUCCCUUUAAUUACAAAAGGCAAGCUAUAGUAGCAUAUACUGAAUUUAUUGAGCAGGAAACUAAGGGUUAAUGGAUACAAAGAUAAAAAGAUAAAAGAAUCAUCAAAAUUUUGUGGAAUACCAGUCCCAUAUAGGAAAAGCACUGAAUUUGACAAGCAGAAUUAAACACUCAAGAGAAGAGAGUUAAUAUAGCAAAAAGAAGGACUCAUUGGGUGAAUAAGCAAAAUUAAUAUUUUCAAUGUGAUGUGAAAGAAUACUACAACCAUAUUAAAGAGUCAACUUGAGAUCUUGGAAAUUAAAUUUUUUUAUUUUUGAAAUAAAAAGAUCAAUAGAUAUUCUGUUAGUAAAAGAGAGGUAGCUGAAGAAAAGUUAGUAAAUGGAAGAUAGAGGCCAAGGAAUUCUCCUUUAAUGCAUUUCAAAAGAUAAACGUUAACAGAUGUAGAAGUUUCAAUAUCCAUGUAAUGGAGGCACUGGAAAGAGAGAAAGGAAAGAAUAUAGAGGAGAAAAUAAAGUACUGAUAAAAGUAGAUUUCUCAGAGUUUAAGAAAGAUACA